ensembl:lncRNA
GGCAGAAGUAGGAGCCACCAAGGGAAUUGUUAAAUUCUACCUUUCUCCUUCCAUAUUCUCAUAAUCAGCAAAUUGAGUUUUUUUGGACAACCAGGAUGGAACCCUCUGGGCUGUCUUGCCAGGGUCUAUGCCUUUUCUCCUCUUAGAAGAAUGCAGUGACAGCAGGACACCCUGCAAUCCAGAAUGACUGGAUCUCAACUUGAUGAUAUCUACAAACACCUGAUCUCCAAGUAAGGUCACAUUCAUAGGAUCCUGGAUCUGGGAUCCAGUCAUUUACUACCGUCAAUAAGUUUCCUCAAAUUGCAGCUGGCUUUCUACAAAAGAGAUGACCCCAUCUAGUAGCCUUCAUCUUGAAUUCAGGAAAGCUGAGCAUCCUACUUUUCCUAGAGUCAAAACAGAGAUGCUAAUUGGCUGCUGGUGAAAUGUCUGGCUUCUCCUCCAAGGGCUGGUUGAGAAAGUGGCCAGAGAAGGAGGCAGAUUCCAAGGGCAAGCUGAAGUUCUCAAGACAAGGAGGCACCAGGAGACCACUAGGAAUCACGAAUCAACAUCCGCUCUUCCAAAGAAGUCUCUUGUUUUUUGCACGCAAACUUCGCUGCUGGUCCUCAGGGACUCGACAGGGAAGCUGCCCUCCACGUGACAGCUCUGUGCUGGAGUCUGUGUCAACACCAACUGGCCAGAUCACAACUAAACGGGGGAGAGAGUGCCGGGAAGUCCACUACUAUCAAACGUUUCUGCCCCCAGAACGAAGAAACGUUACACCGGGAGGCCGCUGGGCCCCCAAGCCUGGGGAAUAGAAAGCAGAUGUUGUCCUCGAUGCGUAAGCCCUCGCAGUCUCGCUGCAGCCUCCUGUGCUGUGUCUUCGUGGAAGAAGUGCAAUCCUCAUUUCAGACUCCACAAAGCAAAGGGACUGCAGGAGAAAAAGCUCAUGGGCUAGAGUGCUUUACCAGGAUCUCAUUUCCCUCAUGGCAAAAUGAGGUGGAUCAUAUUGGGUGGUACUGAAGACCCUUGGAGUUGGGGCACCUGUGAAGGAAGACAGCAGAAAAAUGAUUUAAUUGCCCUUGGAAAGUUGUCAUCAGGAAAUCAGAGGAGCCCAGUAGGAGGAACGCAUGACGCAGCCUGGAGGCAGGAGGGAGGCUCCCCAGAGGAGGUGACAUUUCAUCUGAAGUGAAGAGCAUGUGGAGCGGGCCAGCAGUGGGGAGUGGAGGAGCGCUUCAGGUGGAGAAGAAGAGGGCUCACCAGGCCUGGGGACUGGCCCAACUCCACCACCAGUGACAGGGUGAACCGGGACCAUGUCCAGGCUGGGCCUCUUUCCAGACAUCCUACUGCCCAGGGUAGCAUUCCACAGCUUCCUUCACUCUCAGCAGCUACCACUUAGCCAGGAAAGUAUCUUGCUUGAACUGAGGAGGAAAAAUGUCCAGCCUGUGAAGCUCUGGUGAAAGCUGACUUUGGAAAUGUGAGUGUGGUCGAGCAGUGUGCAAAAACCUCUGGAGGCCCUGUCUGGAAGGCCCGGGGAUCUUCACGGCAGACUUCCCGUGUCCAGACCUUGUCUCAAACGCUUCGCCUGGGGGCGGGAGGGCAGCAUCCCACUGUGUCACAGGUGAGGAAACUGAGGCUCAGGCAGGUGACGUGAUAUACCCAAGGCCCUGCACCUGGUGAGCAGGGAGCAGCUUCACAGCCAGUUGGUGUGACUUCGAAGCCGGUGGCCCUCUCUGUACUGCCACUGUCUGUCCAGGCUUCUAUUUGUCUCCAUUAUUUCCAAAUAGCCUUAAAUUAAUUUUAUGAUAAAAGCAAACUCUUUUCUUUUUUUGACAGUGCUAGGGAUCGAAUCUAGGACUUUCACACUGAGCUACAGCCCUAGUCCUCCCUGCUUUUUAUAAAAUCUUGAGACAGGGUCUCACUAAGCUCAUAAAUUACUCAGGAUGGUUUACAUUUUGGAUCCUCUUGCCUCAGCCUCUCAGAGUCCUGGGAUUAUAGGUGUGCAGCACCAUGCCCAGCUAAAGCAAACAAAAUUUUAAACAUUAUCCUCAAAAUAGAUAAAAAUAUUUCUAAAAUGUAACAUUCUUGUAAUGCUUUGUAUUGUCAGUACCUGCUACAUGUUUGACACUAGCGGAUGUGUAAUAAAUGAUUAAUGAUUGGAUAUACAAAUAGAUGAGUCCAUAUCUGCUACUAUUUGUUUUUAAAACAUCUCUUUGUCUGGGCACAUGCUCAUAAUACCAGCUACUCAGAAGACUGAGGCAGGAGGAUUGUGAGUUUGAGGCUAGGUUAGGC